GGAGGAGAGCGGACCCAAACGCAAGGGCAGGGAGGCAGUGUUUGAUGGGAACGGCUCUGCAGCACUUCAGUGGUCGUAAAAUGUUGCUGAAGUUCAUGUUCAGGGCAUCAAAAACCUAUGAAGGAACAAGCCGAUGACGCCGUCAGCCUAUAAACAUACAGGAUUCUGUUGCAUUGUCACACUGUAGUCAAGCUGUAGAUGCUCAGUAUUCCUAAAGCUAACAAUUUGUGGUAUUGUUCAUGCAACAUUUGCAUGACUGGGACUUGCACUGCUGUCCAUUGUCGGCAUUUGUCACCUCACUGUUUUUUGUUUUGUUUUUGCUUCAGUUUCUUUGACGUGGUCUUAUCUUGGACAGAGGUCAUAAUGAGUAGAAAAAAAGAAAUGGCAACGAUCAUGUGAUCAGUUCCAGGGACUGUGGUGUCCCAGAUAUCCCAGUUGUUUCUAUUUUAAAUGGCCAGUAGAUCAUCUGCCUGCAUUUUUAAGUCAUGCAACAAAGAAAAGAUCAGUUACUUUUAAAUCGGGUAUUUAAGUCUUUGCAGGUUUAAGGUGUCAAAAAGAGGCACGCAGGGAGAAAAAUGACUGGAAUAAAGCAAAUACGUGCAUUUGCAAAAUGUUUUGCAAUGCUAAAUGUGGAUGUCCUAUAACUGGUUGCUUUUGAAAUGAUAAAUCUAAUAAGGCCUCAACCAUAAAUAAUUCUCUGCUGCAUCAGAGCAUCAUUUUCCAUGUACUCAAUUAAGGAGAUGAAAACAAUAAUAAAACAAUUUGUAUGGAAGGCGACUUCAUUGCGUCAACUGCGCAGAUAAAACACUGUGCUACUUUAAGAACAAAUAAAUGUAGAAUAGUUUCUGGGGAUCUAGCAAACACGGUUUAACAGCAAGUCUAAAAGUAAACUCCCCAUUUUGCACCUACUUUUUCAGUUGCAAGCACCUUCAUUUCCAUUGCACAACAGGUUUGCAACCUUUUAAAGGUUCUUCAGCAUGACAGCUAACCAUCGUACCGACGGGUCCUUUCAGAAAGCGCCCUUUCAAC
ensembl:lncRNA